rnacentral:rRNA from 1 species
UACGUAGGGGGCAAGCGUUGUCCGGAAUCAUUGGGCGUAAAGAGCGCGUAGGCGGCCCUGUAAGUCCGCUGUGAAAGUCAAGGGCUCAACCCUUGGAUGCCGGUGGAUACUGCAGGGCUAGAGUCCGGAAGAGGCGAGUGGAAUUCCUGGUGUAGCGGUGAAAUGCGCAGAUAUCAGGAGGAACACCGAUGGCGAAGGCAGCUCGCUGGGACGGUAGCUGACGCUGAGGCGCGAAAGCGUGGGGAGCAAACAGG